AGCGAACGCUGGCGGCAGGCCUAACACAUGCAAGUCAAACGGACCCUUCGGGGUUAGUGGCGGACGGGUGAGUAACACGUGGGAACGUGCCUUUAGGUUCGGAAUAGCUCCUGGAAACGGGUGGUAAUGCCGAAUGUGCCCUUCGGGGGAAAGAUUUAUCGCCUUUAGAGCGGCCCGCGUCUGAUUAGCUAGUUGGUGAGGUAAUGGCUCACCAAGGCGACGAUCGGUAGCUGGUCUGAGAGGAUGACCAGCCACACUGGGACUGAGACACGGCCCAGACUCCUACGGGAGGCAGCAGUGGGGAAUCUUGCGCAAUGGGCGAAAGCCUGACGCAGCCAUGCCGCGUGAAUGAUGAAGGUCUUAGGAUUGUAAAAUUCUUUCACCGGGGACGAUAAUGACGGUACCCGGAGAAGAAGCCCCGGCUAACUUCGUGCCAGCCGCCGCGGUAA
rnacentral:rRNA from 1 species